rnacentral:misc_RNA from 1 species
GCAAAAGAUUAAGGCGAAGGAAGGUGACUGGAUGAUGGGCGAUAAAUGGGUAUAAGGAAAAAGAGAGACAGAAAAAGAGAGAGGAAAUAAACUUUGGGAUCUGGUAAGUCGAGUAGAAAGGAAUUUAGGUGCAGGGAAGAAAUUGGGCGUGUCUCCAACCAUGAAACCGUCCUCCACAAAGACACCUCUCUCUCUCUCAAUUGUUCUGUUCUUCUGGGCUUUUCUUCGACAGCCCACAAGAACACCCACAAAUGCCGAUAGCUCCAAGUAGA